GGUUUGAGCCCUUGAAUAUAGAACUCUCGUUCAAGAGAGCGACCGAGAGACAGAGCAAAAAGGAUUUUGUAAUGUAUAAUUUGUCAGUUUCAUGUGACUCAGUGACGGGUUGUCACUUUUGAGGACUGGACGGACGUUAAGGAAAAAUAUUGGGAGCAGCUCCGGUUUGGGGGCAGCCGGGCGCACACCAUACGUGACGUUCAUUAAUGACAAAAAUAUCCCUAGUUUUCGUUCCCUCCCUCAGCAUUCUCGUACAUUUGAUUUUCGAGAAGAAAGAGAAAUAGAGCUCGUGUUCCCUCCUCUCUCGAAAUCCCCUAGCAGUCUUCCCUCCCCCACUGUGCCCCUCGGCUCGCACAACAUGUUUCUCCUCUCUAGAUCUAGAUCUCCAUGUUUCAAAGCUUUGAGUGAGAAAAAAGCUGUGAUUUUUGAGAAAGUUUCUCAAAACUGACCGCUCGAGUUCCCUCCUCUCUCUCGAAACAGGUGUUCUCAGUUCUCGCAUGUUGUAUAACAGCACUCUCCCCCUCGUCUCGUACAAGCUCCCCCUCCCGAAUCUCCUCAGCCCCCGAAGCCAAGCAACCACCGACCUCAACCCUCCCCACCAAGACCCUCAACCCUCCCGAGGAGAUCAGUCCCAAGCCCUAGGUCCCUAAGUCCCCAAGCCCUAGGUCCCUAUGUCCACCAGCGCGAAGCCCUUAGUCCACUGACGCGAAGCCACCCUCAGUCCACCAAGUCGAAGCCCUAAGAUCUGUGGGAAGGAACUGCAAAUGUUUCAGGAAGAUGUUAUUACUCGCUAUCCAGGUUAUAAGUUCAAGCUCCUUCAUGACAAUGUAUCAUUUAUUUUGUCUAAUUUGUAACUGUUCUUUUAGAUUACGUCUUAGACCAUGUGGUGUGGUAGUUGUAUGUUUCAUAAAUAUUGGAAGGUUAUUAGUUUGCACAUUCUCGUAGACAAAAACUAAUUUUGACAUCAAAAUUUUAUUGUGAUGAAUACUGUGAUAUGAUAUGAACAAAUGAAAAAACAACUUUGUUGCUUGGCUAAUUGUAAGCUAGCAUUCAAUGAUUCACAGUUUGAUCCAAACAGAACUGCUUGACUUCCAACAUUUCAUUUCAUAAACUUGGCAAGUUUUUGAGGACUUUUGAUGCUUGUUUGUUUCAAUUGUUGCAUGAGAUUUUGGUUCUUCUUAUUUUCGAGCUUGAUUGUACUUUAAUGCUUGCUGUUAUUGAAGAUUCACUUACUUUUUCACUUUUAAAUCCUCAAAUAAUGUUCUCUUCUAUUAAUUUGCAAUUAAUUUAAACUUUCAGGUACCUCCUUACCAUUUUAGCAAGAAGUGUCUCUUUCUGUUCUCUAUUCUCUCCAUCUGGUGUGGAGUAACUUCUGGAUAGCUUUCUAUUCUAAGCUAGUUGUUCAUGAAAUUCUUAAGGUGGAAAACAAUAGCUAUUCUUCUUUUCUUUUUUUUUUUCAUAUUCUUUCUACUGGUUUAGGUUAUUGUGCAUUAGACUUUCUGUGUUCUAUAGUUUCUUGUCCAUGAACAAAUUCAUAAGCCCCAACUUGACACCGAUUCUUUAGCUUUAUCAAGGUUUUGUUUUCCUAAUUUCAGUCAAUUGGGUAUGUUCUUUUCCUCAACCAUUAUAUACAUAUAUUUUUGAUAAAUAAACAAAUUUUAUUGACAUCCCGAAAGGCAGAGCCUGAAUUACAACUCUGAUGUCCCACCUAAGUAGGUACAUUAGAGGCAAGAAAAUCUUGAAAGGUCAUGCCAUUAAAAUUUUUUCCUCAACCAUUAGGUAUUGAAUGCUCAUUUUGUCAUGCUUCCACUGCAAAUGAGUGCGCCCCUGGCUCUAUCAAACCUUUUGGUGUCUUUGUGGAUAUGGGUGUGCUCAAGAUUUUUCCUUUAUCACCAAUGUUGGUUGCUUAAUCUCAACAGAUUUAAUGUACUCCUAAUUUAUCUGUUCACAUGUGUCUAUAGGAGUCAGUGGGUGAUAUCUUGUCAUACACUAAAGCAACAUUUAGCUUUAGCAUUCCUAUAACAGGUUUGAGAUGGUCAGUAAUAUGCAAUAUUAGUAAAUAUUUGGUGUAUAUCUAUAAGUGUUUUAAUUAAUAUUGUUUUUCCUAUUAAAAACAAAUCUUAUUCAUACAAAUUAUUGCAUAUUAAGUUUUGCUAGAAUAUUGUAUUACAUUUUAUUUCCAGAAUUUUCCAAAUUUGUGUUUGUGUUAACAAGGCGGUGGCUUCCUAUUAAAGUUUCAUCAUUAAUCCUUUUUGUGUUCUUUUUCUGGUUUAUGAUUAGACAGAUUUUCCUCAUUAUGGCUUUCAAUAGCUGAUCUGUCUGUUUCUGCCAUUUUUCAGAUCUGGUCUUAGUUGGAGAAUUAAGGUUUGAAUCCAAUGGUGUUUGCAGACCAUAUUUAUGACCUAUCAUUAAUUGUAUUACCUAUCCUCCCUCUUCUCUCAACAUAACCCACAUCAUUCACACGUGUGAAAAUUCUAGACAUGCCUAACACACUAUAUACUUUAUUUGGAUUAACCUUCACUAUAGCUGGAAAGAAAUUCUGGAUUUUCUUUUUGUUAUCCUUUUAUUCAAUUGGCUCGAGUUUUAAACCUUGCUGCAGGUCCCCCCGCGCAAACGUAAUGAUGUCUUUUUUUUAAAACACUGGAAUGUAAGUUUCCAGUGGCUGCACAUUCUGAAGAGAACCUCAAAACACCAGUUGACUUUAUUGAAUCAGUCAUAUCAACAUCUCAAUCAUCAUUUGUACUUAAUUACGUUGGCAUGGAAUCUCCAACUUGUUGGUGUGGUUUGAAAACACCACUAAAGACAUCUCACACGUCCAAAAAUCCUGGAAGGAGAUUCUUUGCUUGCCCAAACUAUAAAACGGGAGAAGCAAGGUGUGAAUUUUUUGUAUGGGCCGAUAUACUUCAUUUGCUAGAGGAAAAUUUUCGUGCCCGUGAGAAUAAGGCGACAAGUAUUUUGUGGAAUGAUGUAUUACAGCGCGAGUAUGCUGUUUGGAAACGAGAAGAUAAAGUGAGAGAGAUGGCAAAGAAUCUGAAAAGGCAAAAACGAUAGCUUUUGUGUUUAUACUGGAUUCUGACAUUUGUAAUAGUGUUUAUUUGGUUCGGAUAAAUUAUAUGUAAAGUACGGUGUAUGAUCUGGUCUUUUGAGUUUUGCAUGCUCCUUUUGAAGUGCACAUGGUUUGUGGACCAUGUAGCUGUAUGUAAUGUGUAUGGUGUUAACCUCACUGUGUAAAGAACUUUAGUGCAAUUACAUUGUC